rnacentral:rRNA from 1 species
AACGAACGCUGGCGGCAGGGCUAACACAUGCAAGUCGAGCGAGGACUUCGGUUCUAGCGGCGGACGGGUGAGUAACGCGUGGGAAUGUGCCCUUCUCUACGGAAUAGCCCUGGGAAACUGGGAGUAAUACCGUAUACGCCCUAUUGGGGAAAGAUUUAUCGGAGAAGGAUCAGCCCGCGUUGGAUUAGGUAGUUGGUGGGGUAAUGGCCUACCAAGCCGACGAUCCAUAGCUGGUUUGAGAGGAUGAUCAGCCACACUGGGACUGAGACACGGCCCAGACUCCUACGGGAGGCAGCAGUGGGGAAUCUUAGACAAUGGGGGCAACCCUGAUCUAGCCAUGCCGCGUGAGUGAUGAAGGCCUUAGGGUUGUAAAGCUCUUUCAGCUGGGAAGAUAAUGACGGUACCAGCAGAAGAAGCCCCGGCUAACUCCGUG